GUGUCAGCAGCCGCGGUAAUACGGAGGGGGCGAGCGUUAUUCGGAAUUAUUGGGCGUAAAGGGCGCGUAGGCGGCCUGAUAAGUCAAAGGUGAAAUCCCUCGGCUCAACUGAGGAAUUGCCUUUGAAACUGUCAGGCUUGAGGCCGGGAGGGGGUGGCGGAAUUCCCAGUGUAGCGGUGAAAUGCGUAGAUAUUGGGAGGAACACCAGUGGCGAAGGCGGCCACCUGGACCGGUUCUGACGCUGAUGCGCGAAAGCGUGGGGAGCAAACAGGAUUAGAAACCCUCGUAGUCC
rnacentral:rRNA from 1 species